CGGGUCGUAAAGCUCUGUGGGGAGGGAAGAACAAGCCUGUGGCUAAUAUCCACGGGCCCUGACGGUACCUCCUUAGCAAGCACCGGCUAACUCCGUGC
rnacentral:rRNA from 1 species